GCUCUGUAAAUUUACACAGACAUUAAAUUUCGUUCUAUUCAUUUUAGACAUAUAAUGCUAAGCUGAUUUUUUUUUAUAGCACACUGAUCGAUAUCUCUGUAAAAUAAUCAUUUUUUUAACUAGCGGGGCAGUGAAAUCUUUGCUUUGUGCUAAAGUCAACAGUGACAGAGUUUGAGCUCAAAUAAAUGCCGUGAUGUCUGGAGCCCUUUGCAGAAGGCAGAAGGCGAGCUUCUACAAUGGGCUCCUGUGUGGCUUGCCAACAACAAGCACCGGCGAUUUUGCACAGGGCUCUGCUGACUGAAGUGAUCCCCACGGCCCGAGUGGAGGAGAGGAGGGAGAGGAAGCCUCAGAGGGAAGAGGGAUAGCUGCGGAAGAGCUACACUGAUGCAUAUGUGCAUGGCUGCCAUUUGAAAGAUACUUUUCCUUUGCUGCUUAUAGUCUACUUUAACCCUGGUUCAAGCGACCUGAAAGCACUUUCCUGUCGAUGUACUUGGCUAUAUCUACGUCCGACCUGUCUGCCAUAUGUAAUAUCAAAGCCUCUGUCAGCAUGGAUCUGAAUGGGAACAAAAGAGAGGCCUCCAUUAAUGAUUAACUGUUCUAAAAGCCCCGGCUUUUGUAUUCCCAUGGUGCCCAGGCUAUCUGGCCACCAUGUGACAUGCUCACAGCAUUUUUCGAGCAGAUUGGGGGAAAGCUAGUGAGCAAACACAGGUGCUUUGGAGCAGCGUUGCCGACGCUGUCAGGGACAACCACAAACAAGAGCAGCUAUGCCUGGCUAAAUGAAUCCCCACCCCUCCCACCACCACCACCACCACCUACACACUCCCCCCCCCUCGCUCUCCGUCGCUAGCUAACUUGUUUGCUAGCUCCAUAUAGCUCUUUGGCUGCAAAAGCCUUCCUUCUGGAGAGUCCCCACGGUCCCCCCCAAGUCCAACGUCCACUACAGCCGCGCUCCACAACUUCACACCCUCCAAAGAAACAAACAAAUAAAAGUGAGGACAGCCGACCACUUCUUUGAGGUGAUGGCAUUUGCUGUGGUCAUGACUAGUGGGAGAGCAAACAAAUUAAUGGUGUUCGAGUUUUCACUUUCCAAACCAAACUAAAUGUCUUUUAGUUCAAGUGGGGCAAUUCCACUGACCCUGGUGUCAAAUGCUGUGUAAGGGUUGCACACUCUUGCACUUGAGAUGCCGAGAGGAGGCCACAUGAAAUUAAACAGGACUUGAAUAUUGGCUUAAACUCAAAGUGGCUUGUGACAAAUAAAUCUGGGAUAAAUUGUGUGUGUAAUAAACACUGUAGAUGCUCAUUUCUUCUGGCUUAUGUAUUUUGACCACAAACUUUAGCAAGAGGUGUGUGGAGCACUUAACCUUUUCAUCCAGGCUGACUGAUUGUUCAGAGUGACUGGGGGUGCUGUGUCGCUCAACUUUGAUAAGACAAUCAGAUGAUAGGAUGGCGUUAUCUUAACAUGGCUUUCCGGCUGGGAGACAAAUGAACAGUGUGUGAUAACAGGAACAAAAGCUCUUAUUGGCUGGCUCCUCCAAAGAAAGAAAAAUUAUCAGGAUGGAAAAUUCACAAUAGGCGCAGUUUAUUUCAUUUUCAAUUUUCUACUCAGCUCAGGUCACAGGAACAGCUUUUUAUCACUCAAAUAUUUAUAUUGUCUCUUGUUGGCAUUUUGGUUUCACAGUCUGCAAUUACCUGAGCCUAUAAAGCAGUUAUUAUCACUGGAAAGAUGAUAAAAAUGUUUUAAAACAAACAAUUUAAAUCAACAGGAGAGGAAAUUAAGUUGUAAAAGUUAAGAGAGACAAGCAGAAAAGCUGACAGGUAGAGAGUAAAAAUAUAUAGCACAGAUGGAGAGAAAAGGGAUGUGUGUGUGUGUGUUAGAGGGAGAGAUGGAACGACGGAAAAGGAAGAAGGUCAAAAGUAUUUUCUUCAGAGACCCGCAACUGAUCAGUAAAACGCCACUUCUGUCUGGGUUUUUUGACUUUUGCUGCCCAAUUCUCUGAGUCAGAGAGGGGUGUGUAUACUCAAGGAAUCACUCAGGGAUUUGUUUGCUCUAUUCCCCCCAAAAAUGAUUGGAAAAAAUAUUGGUGCCAUGGUAUGAAAUGUUAGAACUGUUUAGACAGAAAAAAACCUUGCAACUGUGUUAAAUAUGCAUGAAUAAAAUAUUCUCUUUUCAAGAAAA